AGAACCACCACUCGCUAAUGGCUAACACUCGUUCUGGACAUUGUCCUGUUCCUGCAAGAGCGACCUUCGGCUUCCCCAAUUUGGAAUCAGGAAAACUAUUCGGUUCAGGUCAAUCUCUCCAUGAAUCAUUUUUGUCGUUGGCUGGAAUGGUGGAUUGAGAUCUUCUACCACCCUUGUGUUUCAUGUUCAGAUAUGAAGGCAUGUGUUCGUUCCUGGGCUUGUCCGCUGUCAACUGGAUAAGGCCGGCCCAGCAGAUUAUUGAAGAUGCCCAACAUAAGCACCGUAGCAGUGAAUGUGUUGAAAGGGAGUAGGCCGUUAACGAAAAGAAUGCCCGUUAGCUUCGUAAAGUCAACAUAGUUUUGAUGUGUUGCAGUAGCUGGAAGGUUUACGAGGUUAAACGGAAAUCCAUGUUGGUAACAGUCCUUUGACGUUCUUUUCUCCGGAAAUCAGCAGUUCGACAGUUGUAGAAGAUUUUCUAUGGAUGCAACAACUUGCGUGCUCUGCACAGAACUGACAUGCCUUUUAUGGGAUCCUGGAAAUUGAUUACUGAUCUAGAGCUAACAAGUUAUUCCACUACGUUGUGGAGAAAAUGGAGUCAUUCUGAACUGCAAGGGUGAAGAAAAUUGUAGAAGAAGAAAGGACAGAUAUCUAACUCGAGUUCGAAUAUGGAUGUCAUUUGCUGUGGGGUGAGAUGGGUCAAGUUGUCAAUUCCUAUAGGGACAUUCUUAAAGCUUUCCCUAUGUGCUAGCAAAAGUCAAGAUCAAAUUAUGGUGAUUGAUACUCACACACAGGUUUAACAUGGAAGAACUGCAAGUGUUGUUGUUGCAGUGGAUAAAUGGGUGGUGUUUAACAAAUGGAUGUGUAAGUUACACAUUAGCCACGAGGAUAUUCAAACUUAACAGCCAUGGAGAUGACUAAGUAAACCUGUUGGAUUGAAGGUGGUUGGUGAAAAAAAAGAUUGCAGUUCUCCGGGCGUUGUACCGUGCUACGUGGUGACAACGACCUCAUACCAGGUCUUGUAUUUGGACUCUGAACGUACGUCUAUUUUCUUUCAACGGCCGUCCUCGCAGGUUCGGUGUUGAAGCUUAACGUCGUGAAAUUCAUCUUUGUCGGAUGCCCGUCAGCAGUACUGAGCUGCUCCUUUCUAAAAUGUUUUGUUGCAUUCAUUGCCCAUAGGUGCAAUUACCACGUACAUGAAGCUUUCUGCCAAACGCGAUCGUCCAUACUUCCUGUAAAUGGAGGCUACUAGUGCGUGGGUUGACUAAGUAUAUAGCACGUAGUGGUAUUUAGGCUAGUAAUGGUAGUAAUGGAUAGUGAGUGAAUGUGGCGAUGCAGUUGUUCGCUGCAAAUUUCCAUGAACAUAUAUAUAUAUAUAUAUAGAGUAUAUUAGUCGGAGACUUGGGUUUUCAUCGUCAAUGUAAAAUGGCAGCACCUGCUGUGUGUUAUUUCUAACAAGGUUACGACAUAUUUCCACAUAGCUUGCCAUUUACGCAGUUAUUCGUAUAUUUGUUAAACAAGAGUUGAAACAGAAGUUUUGAAAAGUAGAAAGGGAAAGAAUUUUAAGAAAGUGGAACAUUAUAUUGUUUUAUGGUAGUUGUUAUGUUUAUUGCAGCAAGCUUGCAAUGCAAGGUCAGCAAUAACUUGGCAUUGAUAGCUUACAGUUAAAAAAAAAACAAAUUAAUGAAUUCUUGAUCUAAGCAAUAUAAUUUAUAUUUAUUGCAUAUUACUAUUAUUUACAGGAUUGUUGGCAGGCUAUAUCAGCCAUUUUUUAUUACAGA